AUUGAACGCUGGCGGCAGGCCUAACACAUGCAAGUCGAGCGGAGCGGCGGACGGGUGAGUAAUGCCUGGGAAUCUGCCUGGUAGUGGGGGAUAAGGUCGGGAAAGGGGCGCUAAUACGGAAAACAACAAGAGGGGCCAAGGUCGGAUUAGCUAGUUGGUGGGGUAAAGGCCUACCAAGGCGACGAUCCGUAACUGGUCUGAGAGGAUGAUCAGUCACACUGGAACUGAGACACGGUCCAGACUCCUACGGGAGGCAGCAGUGGGGAAUAUUGGACAAUGGGCGAAAGCCUGAUCCAGCCAUGCCGCGUGUGUGAAGAAGGUCUUCGGAUUGUAAAGCACUUUAAGUUGGGAGGCGUUACCAACAGAAUAAGCACCGGCUAACUUCGUGCCAGCAGCCGCGGUAAUAC
rnacentral:rRNA from 1 species